CCUACGUGUGGCAGCAGUGGGGAAUUUUGCUCAAUGCUCGUAACCCUGACGCUGCGACGCCGCGUGAAUGACGAAGGCCUUCCGGACGUAAAGUUCUUUCGACAGGGAAGAAACUGCCUCUAAUUAACUGUGUAUGUAUUGACGGUACCUUUAUUAUCAGCCCCGGCUAACUCCGUCCCAGCAGCCUCGGUAAUACGGAGGGGGCGAGCGUUGUUCGGAGUGUCUGGCCGUAAAGGGCACGUAGGGGGUGUUGUAAGUCAUUAGGCAAAGACUAGAGCUCAACUUUAGUAAGGCUAGUGAUACUAUAAUACUAGAGUAUCAGAGAGGAUUGCAGAAUUCCUGGUGUAGCGGUGAAAUGCGUAGAUAUCAGGAGGAAUACCGUUAGCGAAGGCGGCAAUCUGGCUGGAAACUGACGCUGAGGUGCGAAAGCGUGGGUAGCAAACAGGAUUAGAUACCCUAGUAGUC
rnacentral:rRNA from 1 species